CUUUGUUAUUGACGCUUGGACUGGACAACUAAUUCCGAAAUUUAUGCGAGUAUCUUUAGCCAUCAAAAUAACUGACUGGAAUGCCGAAUUGUAAUAAUUCCUGAAGAGUGUACAGCACAAUGUCAGCCGUUAGACACAACUGUAAUAGACAAAUAAAAUACUUACAAAAGAGAAUUGUAACUGCUUUAGAAUUGUUAUAUGACCAUUCUACAUUGCCUCAUGAGGAAAACUGGACAAGCAGAGCGGAUAUCGUACGUCUAGAUUCAUUAAUAUGUCAUCAAAUUUCAUCCGAUAUAUUCAGACCUCUAAUAUUGUAUUUUUGGUGUCAACCGG
rnacentral:lncRNA from 1 species